AGGCUGAGUAUCGUGGGAUCAUACAGUACUUGACAGUGUCCCAACCUGAAGGCAGUAAUGGGCUAAUCUGUAAGGAUAGUGAUGGCAGAAAUUGAUAAGAAGCAAAUUGGCCUUGAGUUAACUCUGAUUGCUUGGUCUCUUGGUAAUUUGGCAUCACCUGCAUUGUAGCUAUGGGGAAAAGUCUAGUUCUUUUCAGCUUUAAUCCUUGUCUUGGAUAUUGUAGGACAUUGGAUUUCUAUUGUCACAUUCUCUUACAUUUAUAUAGACUUUUUCUGCAAUUGUUUAUUAGAGAGUCUGAGUGACAUUAGAGAAAUAAGAUCUGUGAUAUGUGUGGAGAUGCUUUCUGGUCCUCCCUCAACCUUGUACUGGCCCUCACCAGAAACGGGUAUCCCUUCCCUUCCCUUCCCUUCCCUUCCCUUCCCUUCCCUUCCCUUCCCUUCCCUUCCCUUCCCUUCCCUUCCCUUUCUUUUCUCACCUCCCCACCCCCCAACAUGGUUUUUCUGUAUAUCCCUGGUUGUCCUAGAACUUGCUCUGCAGACCAGCCUGGCCUCAAACUCCCACAGAUCUUCCUGCCUCUGCCUUCCCUGUGUUGGGAUCAAAGGUGUGUACCACCACCACUGGGCUUCAAGUUUCUUUUCUAAUAACGUUCUCUUCCCUUGAAUGAAGAACCUGCCUGAUGGUACUUAAGCCCUGCAUCUGGAGGCCUUUGACCUGGCUUUUAGUUCUCAGCAACAGUUUUCCAAGGGAUAAGACAGAGAGUAAGGUUUUUUAAAAUGCAUGAUUAUCUUGACAUCUUUCUGAGACCUUUCCUUAGGGUUUCCUUGGGGAUGAUUUGGUGAGUAGUCGCGUCCAGGCUGACUGCAGAAGGGAUGGUGGUUAGACACCAUCUCCAGCCACAGGAGACUCUACCAGCCAGCUUCAUGAUUAGACCUGUGGUGUGCCUGGCAGGGAAAGGCCAGGCUAAAGGUUACAGACUGGAGCCAUUCAGGCCUGGACUCCCUGAGGGAAGGAGUCUGAGCAGGAGGCCAUCAGACUCUACCCCUUGCCGCUUCUCCUUAAUAGAGGUAUGGUGCUGAAAAGCCUUCAGAGCAAUUGCUAAGUGUUCUUACAAUCCUGGGAGCUGCAGAGUGGGUGUUCAGACC
rnacentral:lncRNA from 1 species